rnacentral:rRNA from 1 species
AGUUCGGAUUGCAGGCUGNAACCCGCCUGUAUGAAGUUGGAAUCGCUAGUAAUCGCGGAUCAGCAUGCCGCGGUGAAUACGUUCCCGGGCCUUGUACACACCGCCCGUCACACCAUGAGAGUCGGGAACACCCGAAGUCCGUAGUCUAACUUUCACGAGAGGACGCGGCCGAAGGUGGGUUCGAUAAUUGGGGUGAAGUCGUAACAAGGUAUC